rnacentral:rRNA from 1 species
UAGGGAAUCUUCGGCAAUGGACGAAAGUCUGACCGAGCAACGCCGCGCGAGUGAAGAAGGUUUUCGGAUCGUAAAACUCUGUUGCUAGAGAAGAACAAGGACGUUAGUAACUGAACGUCCCCUGACGGUAUCUAACCAGAAAGCCACGGCUAACUACUUGCCAGCAGCCGCGGUAAUACGUAGGUGGCAAGCGUUGUCCGGAUUUAUUGGGCGUAAAGCGAGCGCAGGCGGUUUCUUAAGUCUGAUGUGAAAGCCCCCGGCUCAACCGGGGAGGGUCAUUGGAAACUGAAGGACGUGGGUGAAGAAGAGGAGAGUGGAAUUCCGUGUGUAGCGGUAAAAUGCGUAGAUAUAUGGGGAAACACCAGUGGCGAAGGCGGCACUCUGGUCUGUAACUGACGCUGAGGCUCGAAAGCGUGGGGAGCAAACAGG